rnacentral:rRNA from 1 species
CGCUGGCGGCGUGCCUAACACAUGCAAGUCGAGCGAGGAGAUCCUUCGGGAUGAUCCUAGCGGCGGACGGGUGAGUAACACGUGGGCAACCUGCCUCAUAGAGAGGAAUAGCCUUCCGAAAGGGAGAUUAAUACCUCAUAACAUUGCAGUUUCGCAUGGAACAGCAAUUAAAGGAGUAAUCCGCUAUGAGAUGGGCCCGCGGCGCAUUAGCUAGUUGGUGAGGUAACGGCUCACCAAGGCGACGAUGCGUAGCCGACCUGAGAGGGUGAUCGGCCACAUUGGGACUGAGACACGGCCCAGACUCCUACGGGAGGCAGCAGUGGGAAUAUUGCACAAUGGACGAAAGUCUGACGGAGCAACGCCGCGUGAGUGAAGAAAAGGUUUUCGGAUCGUAAAACUCUGUUGUCAGAGAAGAACAAGUUGGAGAGUAACUGCUCCAGCCUUGACGGUAUCUGACCAGAAAGCCACGGCUAACUACGUGCCAGCCGCUGC